rnacentral:rRNA from 1 species
UACGUAGGUGGCAAGCGUUGUCCGGAAUUAUUGGGCGGAAAGCGCGCGAAGGCGGUCCUUUAAGUCUGAUGUGAAAGCCCACGGCUCAACCGUGGAGGGUCAUUGGAAACUGGGGGACUUGAGUGCAGGAGAGAAAAGUGGAAUUCCACGUGUAGCGGUGAAAUGCGUAGAGAUGUGGAGGAACACCAGUGGCGAAGGCGACUUUUUGGCCUGUAACUGACGCUGAGGCGCGAAAGCGUGGGGAGCAAACAGG